GCGGUGGCUCAGUGGUAGAGCACUUGCCUAGCCUGUGUGAAGCACUGGGUUCGAUUCUCAGCACCACA
rnacentral:tRNA from 1 species